CACCACCCCCCGCGCACAUCCUCAGACGGCCCUGUUGAAGGCAGCACCAGGUCACUAGCUUUGUCCUGAGCUUCAAGCCAGGAAUUCCCGACUGAGGCCCAGAGGCGCAAGUGGAUAGCCCCUGUGUGUCAGCUGCUGGUUUUCCGAAAGGGAUGGGAAACCUGUUGGCAUCACAGAUGGCUUGGGCCUCCUGGGCCUGAGAUGUGGUGGCAGCAGUUGGUCAAGUUCGCCUUGGCCUGGGCACACCUGCUAUCACUCACACGGGCUGUCACCAGGCUCUGCACCCCAGGUAGGAGGUUUUUCUUUUUUUUUGAGAUGGAGUUUUGCUCUUGUUGCCCAGGCUGGAAUGCAAUGGUGAGAUCUGGGCUCACCCCAACCUCCGCCUCCCGGGUUCAAGUGAUUCUCCUGCCUCAGCCUCCCGAGUAGCUGGGAUUACAGGCAUGCACCACCAUGCCUGGCUAAUUUUGUAUUUUUAGUAGAGACGGGGUUUCUCCAUGUUGGUCAGGCUGUUCUCGAACUCCCGACCUCAGGUGGUUUGCCUGCCUCACCCUCCCCAAAGUGUUGGGAUUACAGGUGUGAGCCACCACGCCUGAUCCAGGUAGGAGGUUUUUUAAGUCCAGGAGCUGUUUACUGAGCACUCUGCUGUUGAGAGCUCAUUGUCCAUCUGUCCUAGUCUAGAAGGGAGUGCAGACACAUGCACAGGUGGCAGGUGGCUCAUGAGGUGGAAGACAGAAGAGGGAGGGCAUCUGCUAGAGGUGGAUCUGAAGGGAGGGCGCUCAGGCAGCCCAAGCCUGUCAGACAGAGCAGGGCUUUGAGACAGCGCCCCCCCUUCCCACCCCUGGCCUGCCUGCUCUCCUAAAGCAGGGUUGGGCCGGGAAGGAAUUGAGAGUGGCCCUGGUUUAAAGAUGACAGUAGUGUGAGCAGGGGUAAAGGAGGAAUGACUGAGUUUCUCUUUUGCACUUUGGAGACUCUCUGUAGGAAAAUGGAACCUGGGCUCUAGCCUAAGACAUGUGCUGGUUCCAUGUCUGCCCUGGCAUGGUGAGUGCCAUGUGGUUGCCACCUGUGGCUCCUUGUCAGUGUUCCUUGUCAGUGCUGUGAGGGACUGGGAAGAAGGAAGGGACUAGCAUGUGCUUGCUGCCUCCGAGAAGUGUGUCAUUGAUUUCACAGUUACAGGCCGUGUUUUCUGUUGCUGUUCUCUACUGCAGCCACAGGGACUAGAGCUACAAAUGGUCUGUUGUUUGGAUUUUCGCGGGUUUUCUCUUACUUCAUUCUUCUGCGUUCUCAGCCUCCCAAAGUACUGGGAUUACAUUUGUGAGCCACUGCGCCUGGCCUGCUGGCUUUUUUUGAACCUGCAUCAGCUUCAGUGGAAGACUUUCCUGCUGUGGCUUGUCACUGACCAGCGACUUCUUAGCCUGGACUACUGUGAGAGCAGGGUCUGGAUGCCAGGUGGGGAGGGCAGAGUCUCCUGCUGCAGCAGCACCUCAGCAGCCUUCAUCUCAUGAGGCCUGGAGCAUCCCAGGGGCUGCAGCUGUGCCAUGUGGGGACAGCACAGCAGAGAGGGCGCUGAAAGCUGCAUUCCCCUCUGCCGUCUGUGGGUGCACCAGCCCAUUUUCACAAGUUUGCUAUUCUGGUAGAGGGAGCAGGAGUUGGGGGAAGCUAGGACAGUGGGCAUUAACUUGCUCCAGGAAGUGGGCAUUUUCAGCACAGGCUCUUCAGGGCUUUGGCCGUGCAGGAGGGCCAGUAGUGUGUCCAGGUCACCACUCCCUGGGAUGUUCUUGACUUGGGUCCCAGGGAGAACCCUGCACGGCAGUCAACACCAGAAUGUCCUGGAUCUGCCCUAUGAGUCUUUUCCCUCCCUGCCUACAAAAUGAGAUAAUUAUGUUAGGUGAUGUUUUAGUGUUAUACGAGCUUUUAAUUCCAAAUAAGUUUUUUCUGUGUUAUUUUUAAAAAGUAAAACUGGCCAGGUGCAGUGGCUCACACCUGUAAUUUCAGCACUUCGGGAGGCUAAGGUGGGAGGAUCACUUGAGCCCAGGAGUUUGAGACCAGCCUGGGCAACAUAGUGAGACCUUGUCUCUACAAAAAAAUUAAAAAAUUAUCCAGGCUGGGUGCCAUGUGUUUGUGGUUCAGCCACUCCAGAGAGUGAGUGGGGGAGGAUCACUUAAGACCAAGAGUUCGAGGCUGCAGUGAUCUAUGAUGGUGCUACUGCACUGCAGCCUGGGUGACAGAGUGAGACCCUGUCUCAAAAAAAAAAAAAAAAAAAAAAAAAAAAAAGCCAGGCUUAGUGGCUCACACCUGUAUUUCUAGCACUUUGGGAGGCUGAGGCAGGUGGAUUUCUUGAGCCCAGAAGUUUGAGAUCAGCCUGGGCAACAUAGAUAGACCUUGUCUCUACAAAAAUACAAAAAUUAGCCUGCCAUGGUAGUGUGCACUUGUGGUUUCAGCUACUCAGGAGGCUGAGAUGGGAGGAUCACUUGAGCCUAGGAGGUUGAGGCUGUGGUGAGCUAUGAUCAUGCCACCACACUCCAUCCUGGGCAACAGUGAGACCCUAUCUCAAAAAAUGAAAAAAAAUAUAUAGGCAUAGGGACAGUAAAUAGUCCCUGUGUUGGUAUUGCACUGUGGGCCGCUGGUUACUGGGUACCCUACAGAGCAGGGGUCCCUAACCGUUGGGUCACAGACAGACCAGUACUAGUCCAUGGCCUGUUAGGAACCAGGCCACACAGCAGGAGGUGAGUGGCCGGUGAGCCAGUGAAGCUUUGUCAGUAUUUAUAGCCACUCCCCAUUGCUUGCAUUACCGCCUGAACUUCUCCUGUCAGAUCAGCAGAGAUAUUAGAUCCUCAUAGAAGCAUGAACCCUAUUGUGAACUGCGUGUGCAAGGGAUCUAGAUUGUACGUUCCUCAUGAGAAUCUAAUGCCUGAUGAUCUGUCACUGUCUCCCAUCACCCCCAGAUGGGACCAUCUAGUUAAAGGAAAACAAGCUCAGGGCUCCCACUGAUUGUACAUUGUGGUGAGUUGUAUAAUUAUUUCAUUCUGUAUUACAGUGUAAUAAUAAUAGAAAUAAAGUGCACAAUAAAUGUUAUGAGCUUGAAUCAUCCCAAAACCAUCCCCUUGCCUCAGCUGGUCUGUGGAAAAGUUGUCUUCCAUGAAAUUGGUCCCUGGUGCCAAAAAGGUUGGGGACCACUGCUCUAGAGCACAUCCCAUGGCACCUAAGCAGGGUGGUUUAUUGAGAGUACAGAAGGAGGGGAGGAGCAGUGAGAUCUCAGGUCAUCAGCAGACACUGUGAAGGAAAGACCUUGAGAAGGAAAAAUGAAAGGUGAGAGGCCAGCUUUUCUACCUGGCUCACUCUCGUCACUGGAGCUCAAGGGAAUGAAGCUGAUCUGCUCUGGCCUCACAGAGGGGCGAGGUGUGAGAAGCCAAAACCACCCUGGCUGGGAGCAGAGACAGGAGCUCAGGUCUCUGAAGCCCAGGGAAAGGCUGCUGUGCAGGGCAGGGUUUCAAGACUCCCAAAGAGGCUGCUUGUGGGAAGCACGUGAAAGGGUCCUUAAUCCAAGAGUGUCUCCGUUGAUGACAUAGUGUCACCUGCUGAGUCUCUGUCUUGCCAACAUGAGCUGCAGUCAAGUUGUAUUGCAUUAGGUCAUUGAAACCUCCCAAGUGCAUAAGGACCCCACUUACCUUUACCAAGGACCUCAUAAAAAAAGAGGUGCCGCAAGCACCUUCUGGGUAGGCAUGGAUAGCUGCCCACAGUACACUCUAAUGGCAGCAAUGGUAUUUGCCUUUGGCCCAGAGAACGCUGUCUCAGGGCCCUCCUCCACAGUCUUGUUAGUGUUUGUAGCAGUAACAGAUGUGCAGAUGGAGAAGCUGAGUGUUGGUGAAUCCACUGGAGGGUGGCAUCAGACCUGGAAGGGUGUGUGUAUCAGUCCAUUUUCACACUGCUAUAAAGAACUACCUGAGGCCAGGCUUGAUGCUCACGCCUGUAAUCCCAGCACUUAGGGAGGCCAAGGUGGGCAGAUCACCUGAGGUCGGGAGUUCAAGACCAGCCUGACCAACAUGGAGAAACCCCGUCUCGACUAAAAAUACAAAA